AUUGAACGCUGGCGGCAGGCCUAACACAUGCAAGUCGAACGAGUGGCGGACGGGUGAGUAAUGUCUGGGAAACUGCCUGAUGGAGGGGGAUAACUACUGGACACGGUAGAUAAUACCGCAUACCAUCAGAUGUGCCCAGAUGGGAUUAGCUUGUUGGUGGGGUAACGGCUCACCACUGCGACGAUCCCUAGCUGGUCUGAGAGGAUGCCCAGCCCCACUGGAACUGAGACACGGUCCAGACUCCGACGGGAGGCAGCAGUGGGGAAUAGUGCACAAUGGGCGCAAGCCUGAUGCAGCCAUGCCGCGUGUAUGAAGAAGGCCUGCGUGUUGUAAAGUACUUUCAGCUGGGAGGCGUUACCAGCAGAAGAAGCACCGGCUAACUCCGUGCCAGCAGCCGCGGUAAUAC
rnacentral:rRNA from 1 species